UACGAAGGGUGCAAGCGUUACUCGGAAUUACUGGGCGUAAAGCGUGCGUAGGUGGUUUGUUAAGUCAGAUGUGAAAGCCCCGGGCUUAACCUGGGAACUGCGUUUGAAACUGGGAGACUUGAGUGUGGCAGAGGGGGGUGGAAUUCCACGUGUAGCAGUGAAAUGCGUAGAUAUGUGGAGGAACACCAAUGGCGAAGGCAGCCCCCUGGGUCAACACUGACGCUCAUGCACGAAAGCGUGGGGAGCAAACAGG
rnacentral:rRNA from 1 species